UAACCCUAACCAGCCGCCACCUAAACCUAGCGCGCGCCACUCUCCCUGGCAGCCGCCGUCAGGAAGCCUCCACUCCUUCUCCCUCUUCUCUCUCUUCUCUCCUCCCCUUGCUCUUCUCUGGCCGCCGCCACUUGCCCGGACUUCCUGCAGCCGAGCGCCCCUGCAGCUCCCUGCACCUUCAUCCUGCGCGCUCCAGUCGACCGCGCACUGGGACCAGCGCAGUGCCCAGCCGAGCAGCGCGACGCCCGGUGGCGUUCAUGUGCUUCUCGGUACGGUGAAACCUUUAUUGUCGUUCCUACCACACUUUCCUCAUUUCUUGAGACUUUGGCCGUUGGAUGGUGUACUCUGCGGGAUCCGCAACCUCCUACUGAGCUCCCGCACAGAGGGGCAGGCAUGUGAGGCUUUCGCAGGAAGUGCAGGCAGCCGGCCGUCGACACCAAGCAGGCCUUGCGCUUAUGGCAGCCGUGGUGCUCGGUCUUAUCACCAGUGGUGUCGUUAGAUGCCAAAUGCAGUUUGCUCUGCAUGGGGAUUUUGCUUUCUGGUGUCUGUCCCGUUGGAAAUGGGUAGUUCCUGAGUGACGAACAGACUUCCCAUGGCAGCUAUUCUGUUGAGGAUGUGCGAAAGGUGCACUGCAGAGUCUGAGAAGUGAGAGAAAAAAAUGACAAGUGCUGUUUACCGCUCACCCAUUUUUAACCAAUGCCACGGUGAUACAAUUAUCUGUGCUAAAGGGACAAUUGUUUCAACUAAACCAAGCACCACAGUUGGAGGCCAGAUCCUUGGAAGGCAAUAUUGUGAAAUUAUUGUAACUUGUGUGCUAAAACGAGAUACAAUUUUGCCUCGCCCUGGAGUGAUGUCGCUGGUGGUGCUUUUGUGACUGAUCAUCUCUGGAGCUUUUGUGAAUGAUCUAGAUCUAGCUAUCUAUCUGUAAAUGAUCUAGUUGUGAAUGAUAUUAUAAUUGUGAUGCUUUUGU